UAAUCUAGAGAUCUGCCACCCUCUGCCUC
rnacentral:piRNA from 1 species